UGGGGAAUAUUGCAAAAUGGGCGCAAGCCUGAUGCAGCCAUGCCGCGUGUAUGAAGAAGGCCUUCGGGUUGUAAAGUACUUUCAGCGGGGAGGAAGGUGUUGUGGUUAAUAACCACAGCAAUUGACGUUACCCGCAGAAGAAGCACCGGCUAACUCCGUGCCAGCAGCCGCGGUAAUACGGAGGGUGCAAGCGUUAAUCGGAAUUACUGGGCGUAAAGCGCACGCAGGCGGUCUGUCAAGUCGGAUGUGAAAUCCCCGGGCUCAACCUGGGAACUGCAUCCGAAACUGGCAGGCUUGAGUCUUGUAGAGGGGGGUAGAAUUCCAGGUGUAGCGGUGAAAUGCGUAGAGAUCUGGAGGAAUACCGGUGGCGAAGGCGGCCCCCUGGACAAAGACUGACGCUCAGGUGCGAAAGCGUGGGGAGCAAACA
rnacentral:rRNA from 1 species